AGUUCUUUUUUUCUGUAUUGUAAGCUUAAAAACUGUGUGUUGUGUUCUAUAAUCCUGUCUGCCCUUGGUCUGUAGCAGUAGGAUCUGUAAAUGCAGAGGAAAUGAGCACUGCAGCUUUUAUCAGAGAAAUCUCUUUGUAUUAGUUGAGUAAUAUGAGGAAGAGGUGUCUGUGAGGCAGAUAAAUAAAGACCUAUUCCAAAGCCCCAAGUGAGGCAGCGGGAAGGCUCAGCUAUUACUUCAGGGGCUUUAGCAUAUGCUGCUAAGCCUGCAGAGCAGCGAAAUGCAUUGCAUUUUGUGGCUUUUUUGUCAUUAAUGUAUCGAGGCGCUUGGACUUGAAUGCGCGAUUAUCUGCGUAUUUGGAAAGUGCCAAAAUACCCGGGUUGUUCUGUGGCCCAUGGCCAGAUCACGUCCAGGACCUGCAUGAGUCUUCAUUUAAUUGAGUUGAUAACUCCUUGCAAAAUAAGGCUGGAAAACAUAGAAUCACAGAUUGGUUUGGGUUGGAAGGGACCUUAGUGAUCAAAGACCCCAACCACCCUGCCCAUACCACUUAAAAAUCUGGCCUGGUUGGAAUCUUAUCAAGUACUUUGUCUUCAGACAUCUUCAUGACUCAUUAUUUAGCCUAUAUUAUUUUUAUUGUAGGAGAUAUCAAAGUUUUUCAGUUGAGAAGGAAGAAUUGAACUUUUGGGUGCAAAAGCUCACAGCGAAAGACUGUUUAUUUGGGGUUUUUUAAUCAGCCUUCACAAAUCAUGUGAGGCUUUCAAAAGCCUCCUCCAAGGCAAAGCUCCUUUUACCAUCUCUAUGUCCUUAUGGGACAAAAGGUAAAAUAGAAUGGGCUAUAUUGAUACGUACCUGCUUCAUGACUCUACGUACAGUCAAAUAUCCUAUUGAUUUCAGGUAUGCAUUCCUAAACAGCUGGAGUGUAUAUAAAUAAUCAGCUUGCUGCAUCCAAAAGAGAACUGACCUGCUGUGCAAUUACUAUCUUUAACAGAUAAAUUGGGGCUUUUAACUUAAGAGAUGAGAUGGACUCGAUAUUAGUCUUCAGGAUAACCUUAGCAACAAGGUAUUCCGCUGCCCAAAAGCCCACAUGGAACAAAUUUCAUCUCUAAUAGGAUUUCCCUGAUUUCUGUAGAUUUAAAUCAGGAAUUAGUUGGCCUCCCAGUGUUUCAAACCAGACAGGAGGUCAGCAGCCCAAUGAUAAAUUGGAUAAUGUGGUAUAAUAAAACCAAUAACCUCUCCAGUAUGUGUCUGGACUUCAGUACAUGAUGCUCAUGACUGUUUUGUCAUCUACACAAAGGGUGAGAAAUCUGCAACAAUAAUUGAUAUCACAGAAUGAACAGGACAGGCAACCAGAAAGGGGAAUAAAUGGAAUGUGGCUGAAGAUGCUUCCUUCUGGUCAAUUGUGUCAGAACUGGUUGGCAUUCCAAACACCCAGGCAGAAGCAACACAAGUUCAAUCACAAGAAGACCCCUGAACCACAUGACCACAGAAGGACACAUAAUAGCAACGGCCAGAAUCCAGAUGAACACAAUACUGGCAACUGCAGCUGCUCUGGUCAGCUUCUGCUUGAAUGGGUCUACGAUGCGCCGGAACCUGCAGCAAAGCACAAUAAAACAAACCACUCCGUUGCCAACCAUACAGAGCAGGAAGAUCAGAAGGUAAGAAAUGAUGAAGACAGCUGCCACUAAAGGCUGAUGAAGGUAGAAGUCUACGUAGGAGACAUUGCCUUCUAAGUAGAGGUACUUGUAAGUCCCAUUAUAAUUCAGCGUGUGAGGCCAUUCGAACGGAGAGUUUGAGUCCAUUUUCUUGCUCGUGUUUUAAUGUGCUUUAAAAGACAUUUUAAAGAGGUCAUUUUAGUGUGCUCAAAAUUGAGCUGAAGAAAUAUGACUAGUUUGGACAUACUGUGUGCUGGAAAACAUGCAGAGCUUGCGUAGACUCAUCCCUUUGUGGCUUUUUAAUAGGCCAUUUUCUGAGCCUCCCUGGAUAGGAGAAACAGUGACUAAAUGAAAUCUUUGUAAAGUGGCUCAAACCUGCUGCCUGAAUGCACCCAAAUGCAGUCCCCUUUGAUUGAAAAUGAAAUAUUUGUAUGUACAGUUGGUAUGAGACCACAGUUGAUCUCAGUGCCCUGCCCACAAGCUGCAUAGAUCAGGAGAUGACUCCGCAAACACCAAGGACCACGCUGUGUUUAAAACACAGUGGGGUACAGGGUGUCUGGAUUCAUUUCCUGGCUCUGCUACUGAAUUCCCAUGGGAUACUGGGAGAAUGGUAAUUUCCCCAUGUUGCAUUUUUCCUGCUAUGAAAUGUGAGUAAUACUUUUCCCACAAGGUUUAUCUACACUGUCAAGUAAGUUCAUGUAUUUUAUAUUUCAUUAGAUGACUGUUGUGAAACACUACAAGGCUUUUCUAGGAAAGACUUGAAAAAGUCUGAACUUUCUUGAUACUGAAUCAUCUGGGCUGGUGUGAUGGCUUGAACAUAAGGGAUGUGACACUUCUUGUUUGCCUGCAGCUGAAAGAAUCCAUUUAAGGCAGGUACAGAAUUUGUAUGCCCCACACAGAGUUACUUCCAAAUUUAACUGUUUGAGAUUAACUUCAUAGACCACAAUUUGUUUUCUUGUCCUGAAGAAACAUCUGGUUACACCAGACGCUGCACCAAAGUUCUACAUCAAAUCUUCACGUGGCAAAAUUCCAACAUAUGUAUUAUACAACUCACAUAGAGAUGGUAUCAGUCUACGUAACAGGCCAGCAUGGGCAUCCGGACAUUUACAGCUGAUACCAGAUAACUUGACUUGGAAACAGCAUUCAAAAGGUUUUCCCACAUUUAUUCAUUUUACCUACCAGAUGGAGAUGCCCAAAGAGGCAGGGGGAUGGAGGAGUUCUAACUUAAAAGAACAGCAAAAUUAAUUAGUAGCAGAAGGCAUAAGAUUAAUGUAUGGAUGAAGGGGUGGUGCUUGAAGAAGGACACUCCAGCAGAUGAGACAGAGGUGGCUUUUUCCUUCCUUGCCUUCUGUAGAUUGGUUUUUUGAGGGCUUUGAGCCCAAGAGCCCAAACCCUUGUGGACAAGAAGUGAGACUUCAGUGUCAGCCAAACACCAGGAUCCAGGCUGAGGCUCAAGUAAAUGAUGUUCAUAGACUGUCACUAACACACUUCAGAACCUGGGCUCAACAAGAUACAGGCCACAGGCCAGACAGCCUUUUCCCCAGGUCUGGAUGGCAUGAGAAUACCACUGACUGCUUGGAAAUUGCUUUAAGAGCCCUACAAGCUUGUACAGCAGUAACAGCCACACCACCCCAGGCAGUUUGCCACCUGUUUGUCUCUCCACAGCCUCUUAAAAACCCUGGCAGUACCUUGGCCUUUGGCACUGCUGUACAGAGCCACACCAUCAGCCCCACCAGAUUCAGCAAAAGAGCAAGUCCAGAUGCAUGUAAAAAUCCAUGAGAGUGGCAGAAGGUCACCAUAUGAGGCUUGGCAGGAUGCGGG